rnacentral:rRNA from 1 species
AGCCGCGGCGAAUACGUAUGGUGCAAGCGUUAUCCGGAUUUACUGGGUGUAAAGGGAGCGCAGGCGGAAGGCUAAGUCUGAUGUGAAAGCCCGGGGCUCAACCCCGGUACUGCAUUGGAAACUGGUCAUCUAGAGUGUCGGAGGGGUAAGUGGAAUUCCUAGUGUAGCGGUGAAAUGCGUAGAUAUUAGGAGGAACACCAGUGGCGAAGGCGGCUUACUGGACGAUAACUGACGCUGAGGCUCGAAAGCGUGGGGAGCAA